AGGUGCGAUCAUACCAACACUAAUGCACCAGAUCCCAUCAGAACUCCGCAAUGAAGGGUGUUUAGGCGAGAGUAGUACUUGGAUGGGUGACCUCUUGGGAAGUCCUCGUGUGCACCCC
rnacentral:rRNA from 1 species